AUCCAAUUAAUAAUUAAUAAUAUUGAGAAUAUACACUUUAUCUAAUACUUGCUGGAAAAUUUUCUUUUUUUUUCGAGAGAGUUACCAGUAUAUUUUUUGAAAAUUUAAUUUGAGAUUGCAGCUUGAAAUCUCUUAUUAACUUUUAUUUGUCUUACAAUUCAGUCUUACAGUAUAAAUUUUGAAAGUACUGAAUUCUGUCGAUUUAUCGAAGUGUAAGCAUUAUAAAUUAUACUAUCCCAGAUAACAAAGUACUAGCCAGCAGUAAGCCAACAAAUUCGAACAUGAUUUUACAGUAGAUCUGCUAUUUCCUUAAGCUUAGUUUCCUAACAGCACAACUUAAUAUCAUAUUCAGGUAGUACGCUUUUAUUUUAAAAACGUUUCACGAACGUUUCUUUGAAACGUAAUUGGCUCUUGGAAAUGUUUCUGAUUGAUUAAAAUGUCCUUUCAAAAAACAUCCUUUCAGAAAACCGUUUUUUUUCUAAUAAAACCGUUUAAGAAAAGAUUGAAGCACGUUAAUUUUUUUUCGAAAAGUUUGCUAUUUCACAGAAUUAAUAAAAUAAUGCGUACAUACGCACGCACACGCACAGCCUCGAUGGACGACUAAUCGACGCUACGUAGAUCAUUAAUAGAGGUUUCACGGAGCCUCGAUAGACGAUUUACCUUUGAGUCAAAACAAUUAACAGAUAUAUGUUUCGUUUAUUACAUCGAUUAUUACAAAUAUCGGAUUAUUACAUAUAAAAUGAUGCACGUAUAAAUAGUUGUGUUGCUGAAUUCAUAAUGUGUUUUAUUUUGAUGUCAAUACGUGUAUCAGGAGACACGGUAGUAGCUCCCCAGUCAGAAAUGAUUUCUCGAAAAGACGUCGUUUCGAUAAUCUAUUUCUCAUUAGGAAUUUAAUUUAGAAAUUGAAAUUACUUUGAUUUAUUGAGCGAGUUCAAGCCGGCUAUAAUAUAAAUCUAUAUAUAUAAGUCGCGAUGUCUGUAUGUCCGUAACUCCUCGGACUGCUUCGUCAUUUGUGGUCCGAUCUUAACGCCACUAGUGUCAAAAUUUAGCAAAUUUUCCGGAGACUGCUACCAUGAGCUCGAAUUUUUCAAAAACAGAUUGUUUAAAAAAUGAUGGGCAAAAAUAUACGUUUUUUUAAAAUAAAGUUUGUAUUGUCGCGAACUCCUCCGUCAUUUAUGAUCCGAUCCUCUUGCAACUGGUCUCAAAAUUUAGUAUUUUUUUCGGAGACGGCUACUAUGGAUUCGAAUUUUUCAAAUAGGGUAUUUCAAAAAUGAUAGACCAAAAUAUAUACGUAUGAAUGAUUCAAGUCUGUUUGUCCGCGAAUUACUCCGUUCUUUUUGGUCCGAACCUUUUGCAACUGGUCUCAAAAUUUAGCAUUUUUUCAGGGGACGGAUACUAAGGGCUCGAAUUUUUCAAAAACAGGGUGUUUUAAAAAUUAUUGGCAAAAAUAUACAUAUUUAUGACUGAAGUCUGUAUGCCCGCGAACUACUCCGACAUUUGUGGACCGAUCUUAAUGCAAAUGGUCUCAAAAUUUAGCAUUUUUUUCCGGGGAUGGCUACUAUAGACUCCGAUUUUUAAAAAACAGGGUGUUUAAAAAAUGAUAGGCCAAAAUAUACGUAUGAAUGAUUGAAGUCUGUAUGCCCGCGAAUCACUCCGUUUGUUGUCCGAUUGUAAUGCAAGAGAUCUUAUUUUAUUCCAAAUUUUACGAGAAUUGCUGCUAUGGGUUUGGUUUUUUGAAAUACAGGGUUUUUCAAAAAUUAUCUAUAUAUUAAUUAGUAACGAAUAAGCGUUUGUCUGUAUAACCGCGAACGACAUCGUCAUUUGUAGCUCGAAUCUCUUGCAAAUGGUCUCAUUUUAUUCCAAAUUUAACGAGUAAGGCUGCCAUGGGAUUGAAUUUUCCAUAUACAAGGUGUUUCAUUUAAAGACUUACAUUUCUUAAAGUUACGCCAAACAUUUAUAAAACAACCUAUAUAUGGAAAUAAAUAAAUAAAUAAUCAAUGUAAAAAAGUGUCAUUUACAUAUACAGGGUUUUUUAAAAAUUUAUAUAUAUAAGUUUAGUUGUCUGUAUGUCUGUAUGUCCGCGAUAAUUUUUGUCAUUUGAUGUCCGAACCACAUGCAAUUAGUCUAAUUUUGUUUUACAUUUCUUCCGGAUUAAAAUUAGAGGUUUGUUUUUUACAUAAACAGGGUUUUUCGAAAAUUUUCUUUAUAUAGAUUAGUAACGGAUAUGCGUUUAUUUGUAUGACCGCGAACUACACCGUCAUUUGUGGCCCGAACCACUUGCAAAUGGUCUUAUUUUAUUCUAAAUUUUUUAAGGAUGGCAGCCAUGAGUUUAGGUUUUCUGUAUACUGGAAGGUGUUUCAUAAAUGAAUGGCGUAACUUUAAGAAAUGUAGGUCCUAAAAUGAAACAACCUGUUUAUUGAUACACUAAGUCGAAUUUUUAUUGUAGAGGAAGUUUUAUAACAUGAUCUUCAUUAUGAAAAGUUUUGUAAAAACAUGUAUUCGAUAAGAUCACGCUUGAGUUCGGCAUCUGAUGUAAACGGCACCACAAAAGACUGUGUAUUAUACGCAGCAAAUAAUCUCAUUUUAUUCCAAAAUAAUCGAGCAUGGUUGCCAUGGGUUUGGAUUUUCCAUAUACAGAGUGUUUCAUAAAUGAUUGGCGUAAAUUUAAGAAAUGUAGAUCCUUAAAUGAAAUCCUUACAUAACAUCUUUAUUAUGAAAAGUUUGGUAAAAACAUGUAUAGGACAAGAUCACGCUUGAGUACGGCAUGAUGUACUGAUACAAAUGGCACCACCAAUGAUUGUGUCUUAUACGAUAAGUACGCAUGUUUGUUAAUUUGUAUUUCUGCAAACUACUCAUACGGACGUGUAUUUUUGAUCAAAAAAUAUAAAAUUUGAAUAUCAAAA
rnacentral:lncRNA from 1 species